rnacentral:rRNA from 1 species
CAGGCCUAACACAUGCAAGUCGAACGACUCCUUUCGGGAUAUACUGACGCAUGGGUGCCUAACGCGAUGUGAAUCUGCCCUUUGGGUACAGGAUAACCGAAACUAAACUACGGAUAAUACCGUGAUCAUGACGGUGCGAUCAUAUAUUAAUCCCCGAUGGAUCAGCCCGCGUAAGACUAGCUAGUGGGUGAGGUACAUGCCUACCAGAGCAACGAUCCUUAGCUGGUCAGAAAGAAUGAUCAGCUCAGACAGUGACUGACAGACCGCCCAAACUCCUAAGGGAGGCAUCAGUAGGGAAUAAUGUACAAUGCACGACAGCCUAAUCCAUCAAUGCUGCGUGAGUAAUGACCGCCUUACGGAAGUAAAUCUCUUUUACGCGGAAUGAUACUGACCUCACAGA